GAUGAACGCUGACAGAAUGCUUAACACAUGCAAGUCUUUGGCAAAUCUGUGCUUGCACAGCCUAGCCAAGGCGGACGGGUGAGUAACGCGUAAAGAACUUGCCCUGCAGAUAGGGAUAACAGACGGAAACGACUGAUAACACCUGAUACAAUUGCCGGCACGCAUGUGCCUGGCAAUGAAAAGAGAUGCUGCAGGAGAGCUUUGCGUCCUAUUAGCUUGUUGGUGAGGUAACGGCUCACCAAGGCGAUGAUAGGUAGCCGGCCUGAGAGGGUGAACGGCCACAAGGGGACUGAGAUACGGCCCUUACUCCUACGGGAGGCAGCAGUGGGGAAUAUUGGACAAUGGGGGCAACCCUGAUCCAGCAAUUCUGUGUGCACGAAGAAGGUUUUCGGAUUGUAAAGUGCUUUCAGCAGGGAAGAAGAAAGUGACGGUACCUGCAGAAGAAGCGACGGCUAAAUACGUGCCAGCAGCCGCGGUAAUACGUAUGUCGCAAGCGUUAUCCGGAAUUAUUGGGCAUAAAGGGCAUCUAGGCGGCCAGACAAGUCUGGGGUGAAAACUUGCGGCUCAACCGCAAGCCUGCCCUGGAAACUGUUUGGCUAGAGUGCUGGAGAGGUGGACGGAACUGCACGAGUAGAGGUGAAAUUCGUAGAUAUGUGCAGGAAUGCCGAUGAUGAAGAUAGUUCACUGGACGGCAACUGACGCUGAAGUGCGAAAGCUAGGGGAGCGAACAGG
rnacentral:rRNA from 1 species